rnacentral:tRNA from 1 species
GGGGGUGUGGUGAAGUGGUAUCACAGAGGUCUCCAAAACCUUUGUCGGGGGUUCGAUUCCCUCCACCCCUGCCA